UACAGAGGUCUCGAGCGUUGUUCGGAUUCAUUGGGCGUAAAGGGCGCGUAGGCGGCGGGGUAAGUCUGGUGUGAAAUCUCGGAGCUCAACUCCGAAAUUGCACUGGAUACUGCUCUGCUAGAGGGCUGGAGAGGAGAUCGGAAUUCACGGUGUAGCAGUGAAAUGCGUAGAUAUCGUGAGGAAGGCCAGUGGCGAAGGCGGAUCUCUGGACAGUUCCUGACGCUGAGGCACGAAGGUCAGGGGAGCAAACGGG
rnacentral:rRNA from 1 species